rnacentral:rRNA from 1 species
UACGACUACAUAUCAGGCAUAUCAAUAAGCGGAGGAAAAGAAACUAACAAGGAUUCCCUUAGUAACGGCGAGUGAAGCGGGAAGAGCUCAAAUUUGAAAUCUUCAAGGUUCUACCUUGACGAAUUGUAGUUUAAAGAAGUGUUUUCUGUUAGAUGAGUAGCAAAAGUUCCUUGGAAUGGGUCAUCAUAGAGGGUGAGAAUCCCGUAUUUGGUUAUUCAUUCUAGCUUUGUGAUACACUUUCAAAGAGUCGGAUUGUUUGGGAAUGCAGUCCAAAAUGGGUGGUAAAUUUCAUCUAAAGCUAAAUAUUGGCGAGAGACCGAUAGCGAACAAGUACCGUGAGGGAAAGAUGAAAAGAACUUUGAAAAGAGAGUUAAACAGUACGUGAAAUUGUCAAAAGGGAAGCGUUUGACACCAGUGUUGUUUUUCCGAAAAUCAAUUACGAAUGGCUUGAUUUUGUGUUGUAUUGACCUUAUCAGCUUUCUGCACUUUUUUCGAGUCUUUCUUAAUGCACUUUUCGGUUAACAAGUCAACAUCAAUUUCUUUUGUUGUAAAAGAGUAUUCGGAAGGUGGCUUUCUUUUCGGAGAAAGUGUUUAUAGCCCUAUACUUCUACAAUCGGAGAGAUUGAGGUCUGCAGCGUAGAUCCAUUGAGGGUUAGAUACACUUGUGCUAAGUUGUAGCUUUUCAUAGACAACUUGUUGACUAUGUUUAGUCAUGCGGCUUACUCGCUUGUGCUAUUUUACCUACGCUUAGGAUGUUGAGUAGCGACAUACGCAC